rnacentral:rRNA from 1 species
GUCAAUUAGAGGAAGUAAAAGUCGUAACAAGGUCUCCGUUGGUGAACCAGCGGAGGGAUCAUUAC